GGCACCUCUGGCCUCACUGGCAUCGCUGAAAGUCUUAUCUUGAGAUGCCACCAUGUCCUUCCUCAUUGCCUCCUGAGGUGUACGUGGGUUUUUCUUUUUGGCCAGUAGACUCAGUGAUCGUCUGCUCCUACGUUGAUCUGUGUCCAGCCUGGCCUGCUCUAAGGAUCUGUUUUUCAUGAUGGGCUCUCUUCCCUUCUUUGAGAGCUUCUUAGUUGCCUUUCUGAUCAGGGAAUAGAGGGCCAUGCUGGCAGCUCGGAGCUUGGCCCCGGCAUUCUGAAUGAAAUGGCACAGGAGGGCUGGUGCACAGCAGUUUCUGCACAGCGUAGGUGGUGUCUCUGGUCUAGGAGUCGUGUGUUCUGCUGCUUCUUGCCUGGGCGUCAUCUCUGCGUGUGCUGCUUGGGGUCUGAAUGGUCUACCCUGUGGCAGACGCCUCCAUGGCACAACCGAAGAACUCUCCACGAGGGUACGUUCAGGGAGCCCCUCUGGCUGCUGGGCAGCAGUGGUAUUUUUCUUGUCCUGUUGCUCACUGGCCUUGACCUCGGGUGAAUUCCUCUCUCGAACUGUUGCUCCUCCUGCAACAACCGGGGCUGCAGUGUCAGAUGGAGCCACGCCCUGGGAUCCUUCAUUGUUAGGCUGGGUGUAGUAGUCUCUAUAAAAUUCCAACUUUCGCCUCUCAACAUAUUCAUAUUGCUCCAGCCACAGAUGCAUCAUCUUGAUCUGAUGGUCAUCAGGGCCUUCAUAGAUUCUGCAGCAGGCAAUGUGGACUGGAAUCCUUGUUUCUUGUCUGCACUUAUCUGUCUCGGGGGCAGAUUUUCGCCGUGGGACAAGGGCCUGUGCUGCUGACCUCCUUGCCAGAGCUUGCCCAUGCCCACGCUGGAAGAGCGAGUAAGUGGGCCUCCUUGAGUGCCUCAGAGGAUGGGGAAGCUGGGAGUCUCUCUGACCCAGGACAGGCUCUGAGAAACUCCUCUUCAGGAACUGUGGUGCCUGCAUUUUUAUGUUAGGAUGCUCCGAAUGACUUUGCAUAGCCUCAUCCUCUAAGGGCAG
ensembl:lncRNA